rnacentral:rRNA from 1 species
UACGUAGGGGGCAAGCGUUGUCCGGAUUUAUUGGGCGUAAAGAGCGUGUAGGCGGCUAGGUAGGUCCGUUGUGAAAACUCGAGGCUCAACCUCGAGCUGUCGAUGGAAACCAUCUGGCUAGAGUCCGGAAGAGGAGAGUGGAAUUCCCGGUGUAGCGGUGAAAUGCGUAGAGAUCGGGAGGAAUACCAGUGGCGAAGGCGGCCUUCUGGACUGACACUGACGCUGAGGCGCGAAAGCCAGGGGAGCAAACGGG